GCUGUCAUAGACCUUGGUGAUGAAGCCAAUUCCAGAUUGGCCAGUUUACAGAGACAAGGUCAUCAUUUAUGUUCUUAUAAAGAGCUUGAGAAUGAGAGGAGGAGCCACAUUGACCAAAACCAGAGAGCAGUAGAGGAGGAGUGGAGGAAGGUGCUUCAACUUGCCCAGGAACUCAAGAACCAGGUCAAGCACGAGGAAACUCUCUACAGAGAGUUACAAAGUUUCUGUGAUCAGGGAGAGGACACUCAAUCCUGGAUUAGACAUCUCAGAGAGACCCUGGAUUCCCUUCUUGUGACAUCUUCCAUUCAAGAGAGGCUCAAUGGAGCUGAGGCACUACUAGCUCAUAGAUCUGAGUGGGACUGUAAACUUUCUAACCUAAAGACCAAGGGAGAGAAUCUAUGUUCCUGUGAAGAUCUAGAUGAGGACAAACGUCAGACAAUUCAACACACAUUACAAAAUGUACAGCAAGAGUGGAUGGGAGUUUUGAUGCAGACCCAGGAACUGAAGAACCAAUCAGAACUUGAGCAGUCUCUUUCUAAGGACCUUCAGGAUCUUCAAGAACAGGAGGAGAGCACACACUCUUGGCUUACAGAGCAGCAUCUGAAGAUCAAAUUGCUCGGUAAAGAGACUCAGUUACAAGAGAGAAUGAAUGGAGCUCAGGUAAGAGACAAAGAGUGAUAUUCAACCUUCACCAGAAAUUCUUUAAAUACUUAAAGAAAACAGUCUGACUUGCUUGCUUAUUCUAGGCCAUCCUAAACUCAGAAUCAGAGGGGGAUUACAAGCUAGCCAACCUGAGGAGGAAAGCAGAGGGUUUGUGCUCUCGAGAAGGCCUGGAGGAGAAAAGAAAACAGGAAUUCCAGCUGAACCUGAGAUCAAUUGAAGAAGAAUGGAAGAAGGUCCUGGCAAGUGCUCAAGAAUUAAAGAACCAGGCUGAGCUCCAGGAUUCUCUUGCAAGGGAGCUUCACAAUGUCUGUACCCAGGAGGAGAGCAUCUGGACCUGGGUGAAGAACCAGAAAGAUUGCCUGGACUCACUGGGCAAAAGUACUCAUGGUACACAGGAGCAGAUUGAAGAGAGACUAAGCAAGGCACAAGUAAGUAGUACAAUACGGAGAAACAGAAAAAGAAAUUAAAUGUCCAUAGUAAAACACUUAUUAAAAGAACUCACUGUCUUUCAGGCAAUUCUAAGUCUGCACUCUGAGGGCAACUCUAAGAUUGCAGCCCUGAAACAGACAGUAGACCAUCUUUUAACCGUGAAGAUCUUGAUGAAGAUGCGAGACAGUCUCUCGUUAAGAAAAUGAAAAAAUGUAGAGGAGGAGUGGAAGACAACACUGCAGCAAGCACAGGAGCUGCAUAGGUUUGAUAUUACAUCUUUUAAUGUAAAAAUAAUUGCAAUCAGCACUGCUAGAUGAUUCAAAUUAAUUGCAAAUUAUCAUAUUUAUAAAUAUAUUCUGAGAUUUAUUGAAUGGAC
rnacentral:lncRNA from 1 species